AAAUCUGCCAAGGCGCUUGAGAGAACUCGGGUUAAGGAACUCUGCAAAUUGAUACCGUAACUUCGGAAGAAGGUAUGCCUUCGACGGUGUAGGGAUUUACUCCCGAAGCUGUUGAAGGUCGCAGGUAAUCGGUGGCAGCGACUGUUUAUCAAAAACACAGGACUCUGCGAACACGCAAGUGGAAGUAUAGGGUCUGACGCCUGCCCGGUGCCGGAAGGUUAAUUGAUGGGGUUAGCCGCAAGGCGAAGCUCUUGAUCGAAGCCCCGGUAAACGGCGGCCGUAACAAUAACGGUCCUAAGGUAGCGAAAUUCCUUGUCGGGUAAGUUCCGACCUGCACGAAUGGCGUAACGCUGGCCACGCUGUCUCGACCCGAGACUCAGUGAAGUUGAAAUCGCUGUGAAGAUGCGGCGUUCCCGCGGCAAGACGGAAAGACCCCGUGAACCUUCACUACAGCUUUACACUGAACUUUGAACCUUUCUGUGUAGGAUAGGUGGGAGGCUAUGAAACUUGGGCGCUAGCUCGAGUGGAGCCAACCUUGAAAUACCACCCUGGGAUGUUUGAAGUUCUAACCUUGGUCCGUAAUCCGGAUUGGGGACAGUGUAUGGUGGGUAGUUUGACUGGGGCGGUCUCCUCCCAAAGAGUAACGGAGGAGUGCAAUGGUACGCUCAGCGCGGUCGGUCAUCGCGCUCUAGAGUGCAAAGGCAUAAGCGUGCUUAACUGUGAGACAGACACGUCGAACAGGUACGAAAGUAGGUCUUAGUGAUCCGGUGGUUCUGUAUGGAAGGGCCAUCGCUCAACGGAUAAAAGGUACUCCGGGGAUAACAGGCUUAUUCCUCCCAAGAGUCCACAUCGACGGAGGAGUUUGGCACCUCGAUGUCGGCUCAUCACAUCCUGGGGCUGUAGCAGGUCCCAAGGGUAUGGCUGUUCGCCAUUUAAAGUGGUACGCGAGCUGGGUUCAGAACGUCGUGAGACAGUUCGGUCCCUAUCUGCCGUGGGCGUUGGAAACUUGAGGGUGAGCUGUCCUUAGUACGAGAGGACCGGGAUGGACGUAUCUCUGGUGUUCCGGUUGUCACGCCAGUGGCACUGCCGGGUAGCUAUAUACGGACGGGAUAAGCGCUGAAAGCAUCUAAGCGCGAAGCCCCCCCCAAGAUUAGGUUUCCCUGGGAACUCGAUUCCCCUAAAGGGCCGUCGGAGACUACGACGUUGAUAGGCUGGGUGUGUAAGUGCAGCAAUGCAUUGAGCUAACCAGUACUAAUUGCCCGUGAGGCUUGACC
rnacentral:rRNA from 1 species